UGGGAAGAACAGAGCCACGAC
rnacentral:miRNA from 1 species